rnacentral:lncRNA from 1 species
AUUUUUAUUUUUUUUCUUUUGUUUGGACUUCUACAAUCUUGACUUUUCUCAAAAACUGUUUGUUUCCCUCUGCUAUCCAAUAUAAUUAAUUAUUAGAAGUUACUGUUGGAGGAUUGGAGGAAAAAAAAGAAAAGAGUCAUUUCUUAGUUGUCAUCCAGCAUUAGUAUUCACUGAUGGUAGGUUUUAAAUAAAUUAAACUCGUGACCCGACCCGACCUGAGCC